GAUGAACGCUGGCGGCGUGCCUAAUACAUGCAAGUCGAGCGCACAGACGAGAUGCUUGCUUUUCUGGUGUUAGCGGCGGACGGGUGAGUAACGCGUGGAUAACCUACCUAUAAGCGUGGGAUAACUUCGGGAAACCGGUGCUAAUACCGCAUAAUAUCUUGAACCACAUGGUUUAAAAGUGAAAGACGGACUUGCUGUACCUAAUGGUUGGAUCGGCGCUGCAUUAGCUAGUUGGUAAGGUAACGGCUUACAAAGGCAAGGAUGAAUGGCCGACGUGGGAGGGGGAUCGGCCACACUGGAACGGGGACACGGUCCAGACUCCUACGGGAGGCAGCAGUAGGGAAUCUUCCGCAAGGGGCGAAAGCCUGACGGAGCAAGGCGGGGUGAGUGAGGAAGGUUUCGGGAUCGAAAAACUCGGUUAUUGGGGAAGAACAUAGGUGUAAUGAAAUGUGCACAUAGUGACGGUACCUAAUCAGAAAGCCACGGCUAACUACGUG
rnacentral:rRNA from 1 species